GAUGGUGUGGCGCAAUGGCAGCGCAGGGGAUUGUCUAUCCUCAGGUUGCGAGUUCGAGUCUCGUCACCAUCG
rnacentral:tRNA from 1 species